rnacentral:rRNA from 1 species
UGGGGAAUUUUGGACAAUGGGGGAAACCCUGAUCCAGCCAUCCCGCGUGUGCGAUGAAGGCCUUCGGGUUGUAAAGCACUUUUGGCAGGAAAGAAACGUCAUGGGUUAAUACCCCGUGAAACUGACGGUACCUGCAGAAUAAGCACCGGCUAACUACGUGCCAGCAGCCGCGGUAAUACGUAGGGUGCAAGCGUUAAUCGGAAUUACUGGGCGUAAAGCGUGCGCAGGCGGUUCGGAAAGAAAGAUGUGAAAUCCCAGAGCUCAACUUUGGAACUGCAUUUUUAACUACCGGGCUAGAGUGUGUCAGAGGGAGGUGGAAUUCCGCGUGUAGCAGUGAAAUGCGUAGAUAUGCGGAGGAACACCGAUGGCGAAGGCAGCCUCCUGGGAUAACACUGACGCUCAUGCACGAAAGCGUGUGGAGCAAACAGG